UUGAAAGGGAAACGAUUGAAGUCAGUCGUACCGACGAGAAAUCAGCUCUUUGAGUGUUAACCUGUGGGCGUGCGUGAGUCUUUAACGGGCCUCGCUGUUUGCAUGUUUGUGCUUUUUGGGUGUACUUUUUCGUAUGGUUGGCCAACGUCAGUUUCGGUCACCAUAAAAUGAUCAGGGGAAUGUAGCUUCGAUCUCGUAUUGAAGUGUUAUAGACUUUGGUAGAUGUGGUGAUCGAAACUGAGGAUUGCAACGAAUACCCUUCGGGCUAUCCGUCUGGCCUCUGAAAGUUGCCUAGGUGCCGAAAGCUUGCUUACGGUCGUCUAAGGUAGCGGUCAAAAGGUUAGAACGUGAUUACAUUCGUUAAGGAUGUUGACGUA
rnacentral:rRNA from 1 species